GAUGAAGAACGUAGCGAAAUGCGAUAAGUAAUGUGAAUUGCAGAAUUCAGUGAAUCAUCGAAUCUUUGAACGCAUCUUGCGCUCCUUGGUAUUCUGAGGAGCAUGCCUGUUUGAGUGUCAUUAAAUUCUCAACUACACUGACUUUGAAUUGGUGUGGCUUGGAUUUGGGGGGAAAAUUGUUGUGGGCUUUUUGUAUAGUCUGCUCCCCUGAAAUUGAUUAGCGGUACCUUUGUGGAACUGUCUACAGGUGUGAUAAUUAUCUACAUCUUAGACAUCUGCUGGAAUGCUGCUUCUAAACCUUACUUGUAUUGACAAUCUUGACCUCAAAUCAGGUAGGACUACCCGCUGAACUUAAGCAUAUCAAUAAGCGGAGGA
rnacentral:misc_RNA from 1 species